rnacentral:rRNA from 1 species
CCUACGGGUGGCAGCAGUGGGGAAUUUUGCGCAAUGCUGGAAACAGUGAAGCAGCAACGCCGCGUGGAUGAUGAAGGUUUUCGGGUUGUAAACUCCUUUUGUUAGGGAAGAUAAUGACGGUAUGUAACGGAUAAGCACCUGCUAACUCCGUUCCAGCAGCCGCGGUAAUACGGAGGGCGCAAGCGUUACUCGGAAUGACUGGGCGUAAAGAGCGCGUAGGCGGGAUAGCAAGUCAAUAGUGAAAUACUAUGGCUCAACCAUAGUACUGCAUUUGAAACUAUUAUUCUAGAGUAUGGGAGAGGUUGGUAGAAUUCCUGGUGUAGGGGUAAAAUGCGUAGAGAUCAAGAGGAAUACCCAUAGCGAAGGCGACCUGCUAGAACAUAACUGACGCUGAUGUGCGAAAGCGUGGGGAGCAAACAGGAUUAGAUACCCCUGUAGUC